AUCCCGUUGGCCGAGCAGUUCAGGCGGCGGCCUGCAAAGCCGCAGAGGCUGGUGCGAUUCCAGCACGGGAUUCCA
rnacentral:tRNA from 1 species